GCCCCGGUGGCCAAGUGGUAAUUCUCCGCCUGUCGUGUGGAGGACCCGGGUUCGAAUCCUGCCAUCGGCG